ACAAGUUACCCCAGCCUCCCCCUGCUGCCUUUGAUCCCCGCAGCAGUGCACUAUUGCACUGCUGAGCUGGAAAGUGAAGUGACAGCCGGAGUUCCGAAAAGGGGGUGGAGCUACACGGCACUGUACUCAGUGCCAGGCCAGCCAGCAUCAGCGGAGAGAGGAGGGGAGAGAAGAGCAGCAGCACAGCACAGCCUAAGUACCAUGGCGCCAGCCGCCGGGUGAUGGCGUCAUCAGUGGGCGCCUUCAUGCUGACACACGUGGGGGGUGAGAUGAUCUUUAUAAGUUGCAUUGUGUUGAAUUCAUCAAAAAAGACAUCCGACACUAGCAGAGUCUCGUAGGAUCUGGUGCACCAAGAGGGGCUGUCUGGAGUGACUGCAGCAAUGAUGUAUGAGGACAUAUCUGUAGUAAGAAAGAAAAACAGAAAAAAUUUCACAAUUUGCAUUUUCUUGACACAUUAGGUGUAUAUGUUCAGACUGUGGCAACAGCCAGUCUUUAUGGGCCAUGCCAUUUAUCACCUUGCAAAGUGUAGGGCAAUUGUUUUUUUGGUUUUUAUGCAAAGAACACAAAUAAAGUCACUAAAAUCAGAAAAUUGAGGCAUCUCGGUAAACAAAGUUUGUAACUAAUUUCUGUUAUGAUGUAAUUACAAAAAGAAACAGGGUACAGACCCAUCUGUCUUUUGAGAAAACUUCUGCAGCCUGUUAUUCUGCAAAUGAGGACAAGAAGAAGUCCAGAAUGAGGCCAAGUUAAGGUUUGUCUCUAUCUACUAAAAAUAUUUUCCAUUCAGCACCUAUUUAAUUUGUUCAAUAUCAACUAUGUAUAAGUAAUGAUAAUCGUCUUUGAGCUGCCAAUAUUGAAGUUAUGAUGCUUUGUGGUUUAUGCCUU